AUUGAACGCUGGCGGCAUGCCUUACACAUGCAAGUCGAACGGCAGCACGGGAGCAAUCCUGGUGGCGAGUGGCGAACGGGUGAGUAAUAUAUCGGAACGUGCCCAGUCGUGGGGGAUAACGUAGCGAAAGCUACGCUAAUACCGCAUACGAUCUAUGGAUGAAAGCGGGGGAUCGCAAGACCCCGCGCGAUUGGAGCGGCCGAUAUCAGAUUAGGUAGUUGGUGAGGUAAAGGCUCACCAAGCCGACGAUCUGUAGCUGGUCCGAGAGGACGACCAGCCACACUGGGACUGAGACACGGCCCAGACUCCUACGGGAGGCAGCAGUGGGGAAUUUUGGACAAUGGGCGCAAGCCUGAUCCAGCAAUGCCGCGUGCAGGAUGAAGGCCUUCGGGUUGUAAACUGCUUUUGUACGGAGCGAAAAGGCUUCCACUAAUACUGGGGGCUCAUGACGGUACCGUAAGAAUAAGCACCGGCUAACUACGUGCCAGCCGCCGCGGUAA
rnacentral:rRNA from 1 species